UACGUAGGGGGCUAGCGUUGUCCGGAAUCAUUGGGCGUAAAGAGCGUGUAGGCGGCCAACUAAGUCCUGCGUGAAAUCUCGGGGCUCAACCCCGAGCGGUCGUGGGAAACUGGUUGGCUAGAGUGCGGGAGAGGAGAACGGAAUUCCCAGUGUAGCGGUGAAAUGCGCAGAUAUUGGGAAGAACACCAGUGGCGAAGGCGGUUCUCUGGGACGGUACUGACGCUGAGACGCGAAAGCGUGGGGAGCGAACAGG
rnacentral:rRNA from 1 species